AUGUUAUAAAUCUUGCAUGCUGUGAUACAAGAUCAACAAUUCAUGUGCCAUUGAAACACUACAAAUUCAAGAUAGGGAAGAAAAAAGAUCAGAAGCUGGAGUGGAGAUUGAAAUCAACGAGACUAGAUCACUGAAUCUUUUAAAUAGAAUGAAACUUAUAUCGUGGUGAAAGCCCAGAUUCUUGUUAUGGCUGGGUACCAAUACAGAUUUUUCUAUCAUAGACUAUCUGUUAUGUGAGAUUUGCAUCUUGGUGGAAGAUUUUCUAGUUUAAGAUGCUCGAAUGGGUUAGGAAUUCAAAGUCGGAUUAUCCUUUACAAGCACAUCUACCAAUUGCCCUGCAACCAAGUUUAGGGUAAUAAAAUUUUGUUAAAACAACAAUAUAUAUUGGAAAAAACAGGUGGUUGGAAGAAAAACUGGGACAAGAGUCACAAUUUGUGAUCCAUUUCACUCAUCCUGAUGAUUGAGCAGGAAAAUGUGAUCUAAUAGGUGGUUUCUAUCCCAAAAAAAAUUGUUACAUUUUUUCAGAAACCUGUUUCUAUAAUAUAGUACUUCAUGUAUUUAAAUAAUUUUUCUAGAUAUGGUGAUUGUCCUGAUUGCCCUUAAGCUAACAUACAGAGAACAAAUAAAAACAGAACAUCAAUAGAUUGAGUACCUAUCCAAAUCAGGUGGCAAAAGCAAAACAAGUGUGGCGUAUACUUACACUUACAGCAUUGUGUCCUAGGCCUUCACUGUGCAUAAAUCUCUUGACAAAUUGACUGAGUAAGUUUUUGUUCAAUUUAUGUUAUUGAACCCUCUGAAAACUAUUAGGCGUCCCACCUAAUAAUUCUUUUGCUGAAGCUGGAGCAGAGUCUGCUUAAAAGUUAUGUAAGCAAUUUCUGUGCUGAAGCUUAUUUUAUAAUCAUGAUCAUCAUGUGAAUGCACAUCAGUUGUGCUACCAUAGCCAAUUUAGUAGACUCUGGUUGUUCUAUUGCUGGAUCGGGAAAUGGGACUGUAGAUGAGAUAGUACCAAUAGCAUUGAUUAACGGUACAGAAGUGUACAUUAAAGUGCGUGGGAAGAAAGCAUUAAGUUUCACUUUUAACUCUAGGGGAAUUUAUUUCUAAGCCUUCAAGAUAUUUGGAGACGUGGAAAAUGUUUCUGACAAUUGGAUGUGUAAUCAAAGUUUUAGUUCUUUUUGUUGGUUUUGGGAAAUCAUUUGCAAUGUAAAAGGGCUUGGCAAUGAGGGAAGGUCAAGCUGUAUGAAGCAUGCUGUGUCGAAAACUUUGAUUCUGGAUUUCUUUUAUAUCUUAUAUAUUGAUUAACUAAGGCUUCUGGACCAAAUGCUAGUCCAUUCUUAUGCCUGAAUAUAAAAUUCUGCAUCUCUAAGCAUUGUUUACCAGGUCCCAGAUGAUCCAAUAUACAUAACUGCAAGAGGAAUCAAUCCAUCUUUGUGAAACUUAAAAGUCACAACUCUAGGUAACCAGCAAUAGGAUGUGUGGUACCUAAUUAGGCAGCUUCCUGGUGUAAAACUUAGCGUGAACCAUAUCCUACACAUUAGUAUUUUUUUGAUUAAUUUUGCUAUAUCUUUUGCAAGAAUAGUGUCACCAGGAAAUUACAUUUAAAUGCAGCUACCAGGAGAUUUGAGUACAUCCUGGGUUCAAUUUUCCUGGUGAAUCUUUGCAAUGAAUUUCUUUAGUGUGGUGGUACUGUAUUCUCUUCAUAGAUUUCAUUAGCCAUGACUAAUUACUUUUUUUGUGCUGAUCUUGUCCCCUGUUAUAUACUCGGUACAUGUUUUUGGUAGAAGAGUGCUCCUGCAACUGUGUUUCUUGUUCUCAGCUUCAUUUUAUUAUAUGAAGGCUUUUUCCUGUUAAUCCACAGAAACUGUUUGAGAAUUACAUAAGCAUUGAAACUCGUGCACCUUUGCCUCCUGCAAUGGUUUUAUUUUCAGCUGACGGGUGACAAAAUUUCUCUUAUUCAAGGUUGUGCUUUACAUCCAUGCUAGAGGCGUAUUUCAAAACUAGCCGAGCACAAAUCAGAUGCACCAUAAAUGCUUUGUCUUUCAUUCGAUACAAAGUCGGUCUACAUGAUAGCAACUUAUAAUGGUUCCAAUAAGGGCACUAACUCUGUCUUCACAAAAUAAUUACAAGGCAUCCAAAUCCAGGAAAGGAUACUAAUUGCUUUCAUUGAUAAAAUAAAAACCUGUCUUUCAAUUUGGUAGUAAUUGGUGAACAUUAUCUUCAACAAUCAGUAGCUGAUAGUUGUUUUCUGGCAUCAAACAGACCUGAGAUUAAAAUUUAUAGCACAUGCUAGCAAAAUCAUGUGCAUUCACAUCCUUUUCUUAGAAUUACUUUCAUAUCCUCUAUGAGUAUCUUUUACGACUGUGCUUGUUAAUUAGACAUACCUUUUGUCUUCAUCCUUUCUGGAUCGGGAUUGCUUAGCAUAUAAUGUUGAUCAGUGUUAUUUAACUCUCAUCCUUUCUUUGAAAAGCAGUAUAGUUUAUAUGCAGGCCUCAUCUAUGAUGCUUUUGCCUGCCAAUCCACAGAAACUGUUUGAGAAACACGUUAAGUUUUUACAACUCAUGCACCCUUGCCUCCUGAAAUGAUUUUAUUUUCAGCUAAUAGGUAACUAAUUUUUUCUCAUUUAAGUCUGUGCUAUGCAUGCGUACUUGAGGUGUAUUUCAAAACUAGCUUAACAAAAGUUGGAUGCACCAUAAAUGCUUUCUUUUUCAUUCUAGACAAAGUGGGCCUGCAUGAUGGCACCUUACAAUGAUUCCAAUUUGGGUACUAAUUUUGUUUCUGUAAAAUAAUUAUAGGGCAUCCAACUCCAGAAAGCAAUGCUGAUUUAGAAAGAAAAAGUUGUAUUGCAUUAUUUAAUAAAACCUGUUUUUCCAUUUGGUAAUGAUUUGUGAACAUUGUAUCUUUGGCAAUGAGUAGCGAAUUGUUGUUUUCUGGCAUCAAGCAGAACUGAGAUUAAGAUUUCUAGUGCAUAAUGGCAAAAUUGUGGGCAUUCACACAAAUGUUUUUAGUAUCAUCUUCAAAUCCUCUUUAAGGAUCUUUUAGGACUCUUCUUAUUAAUUAGACACAUCUUUUCUCUUCAUCCUUUUUGAAUCUGGAUUACUUAGCAUAUAAUGUCAAUCUGUGUUAUUUAACUCGCAUCUAUUUUACCAUUUUCUCUGAAAAGUAGCCUAGUUUGUUUUAGAUACAGCUCUCGUCUAUGACCUAUUUUUUCUUCAUACUACCAUUUCAGACAACCUAAGGUUCCAGUAUUAAGUAUAGCACUGGAGACGUAUUUAAAUCUCAUAUUGUUUUAAAGUGUAUUGGUUUCACCACUACAUGUGAUCCCCAUCCUUUGUUUAUCUGUCAUGACCUUUGUUUUUGUAAGGCAACCAUGAAACCUCUUUUGACAAUCACUACUUUCAAGCACAGAACCUUGGUAGUGAUCCUUAGAUUUUACUUGAAACCUUACAGAAAAAUGACCCAGGAUGAGCAUUCAAGGUAGAAAAUUAGUAGAUUGCACUUUGUUUUAUUAUGAAAAUUUCAGAAAAUGGAUAUUUGAGGGGCCACUGAACAAGUAUUGAACGAAGAAUAAUCUGAAUCAUUUCUAGAAAAGCUUGCUCCUUCCACACCAAGAAGCUACUUUCAAGUUGUAGUUGUCAACCAAGUUACUACCAAGCUCCUGCUAUUCCUCAGCAUCAUGGAACUAAAGAAAAAUUAGAAUCCUCAAAAUUAAGCAACUUGCUAUGAUUAUGCCUCAAGAAUGCUCAGGUUAUAAUCCAACAUUUAGGAUAGGAUUAUAAACUACUAACACCAAGCAGUGCAGUUAGAUAAAUGUUUGUCAUGAGCUGUGGCUAACUGGCCACAUUGCAGAUACCUCAGAGUUACAUAGAUCUCAUGAAUGCUA